rnacentral:rRNA from 1 species
UACAGAGGUCCCAAGCGUUGUUCGGAUUCAUUGGGCGUAAAGGGUGUGUAGGUGGCGCCGUAAGUCGGGUGUGAAAUCUCGGGGCUUAACUCCGAAACUGCAUUCGAUACUGCGGUGCUUGAGGACUGGAGAGGAGACUGGAAUUCAUGGUGUAGCAGUGAAAUGCGUAGAGAUCAGGAGGAACACCAGUGGCGAAGGCGGGUCUCUGGACAGUUCCUGACACUGAGGCACGAAGGCCAGGGGAGCAAACGGG